AUUGAACGCUGGCGGCAUGCUUUACACAUGCAAGUCGAACGGCAGCGCGGGCUUCGGCCUGGCUGCGAGUGGCGAACGGGUGAGUAAUGCAUCGGAACGUGCCCAGCAGUGGGGGAUAGCCCGGCGAAAGCCGGAUUAAUACCGCAUACGACCUGAGGGUGAAAGCGGGGGACCGAAAGGCCUCGCGCUAUUGGAGCGGCCGAUGUCGGAUUAGCUAGUUGGUGGGGUAAGGGCUUACCAAGCCGACGAUCCGUAGCUGGUCUGAGAGGACGACCGGCCACACUGGGACUGGAACACGGCCCAGACUCCUACGGGAGGCAGCAGUGGGGAAUGUUGGACAAUGGGGGCAACCCUGAUCCAGCCAUGCCGCGUGCGGGAAGAAGGCCUUCGGGUUGUAAACCGCUUUUGUUCGGGAAGAAAUCCUCUGGGCUAAUACCCCGGGGGGAUGACGGUACCGGAAGAAUAAGCACCGGCUAACUACGUG
rnacentral:rRNA from 1 species